ensembl:lncRNA
GCUGUUAUCCUGUAUGCCCAGAAGAUAAGCCAAUAUUUGAUGAAACAAACCAGAUAUGUGUGGAAAUAUGUGAUGUUUGCUUUUACAAUGGGACCUACUACAAUAACUCUGACGUCAUCUACAAUGUCACUGACAACAUGGGAAUGUGCUAUUACGCAAUUUGCAUUAAUGCAACAGUGAUACAUUCAAAUAUCACCUGCGGGACCACAACAACUGAACUUUCCUACUACUACAACUACACAGACAACUACAACUCACCCACCAACAACAACGACCGAACCACCCACUACAACAACCUGAACCCUCCUACUACUACAACCACACCCCCAACAACAACGACCGAACCUCCCACUACAACAACUGAACCUCCUACUACUACAACUACACAGCCAACUACAACCACACCACCAACAACAACGACCGAACCUCCCACUACAACAACUGAACCUCCCCACUACUACAACCACACCCCCAACAACAACGACUCCGAACCUCCCACUACAACAACCAAACCUCCUACUACUACAACUACACAGCCAACGACAACCACACCAGCUACAACCACAACCAAGCCUCCAACGACAACAACUCCUGUAACUACUACAUGUAUUCCAACAACAAUAUGUGAGUGGUCAGACUGGUAUGAUGUGCAUGAUCCAAAGACAGACAAAGUGACUGGGAAACCUAUGAAACUCACAAACAGUGGUCUCGAAAUAUGUGAAAAUAUUGAAGACAUUGAAUGUAGGGCAAACUGAUUAUCCAGAACACAGCUUGGAUGACUUGUAAGUCAAAACUGCCAAGUUGUUUCCUUGAUAAGGGAUAUGGACUAAUAUGUAGAAAAGAGGAUCAAAUACGGCCUCCACGAAAGUGCUUUAACUACAAGAUCAGAGUGAACUGCUGUGAUGUGGUGCCAUGUGGGACCACAACGACAACCACACCAACAACAACCAAGCCUCCCACUACAAACAACUACACAGCCAACUACAACCACACCAACAACAAAGCCUCCCACUACAACGACACAGACAACUACAACCACACCAACAACAACAAUCCCCCAACUACAACUACAACCACGCCACCAACAACAACCAAGCCUCCACUACAACAACUACCCAGCCAACUACACCACACCCACAACCACAAGCCUCCACUACAACUACACCAAGCCUCCCACACAGCCAACCUACAACCACACCAACCACCAAGCCUCCCCAGCUACUACUACAACCACCACCACCAACGACAACGACCGAACCUCCCACUACAACUACCACAACAACCAAGCCCCCCACUACAACUACCCAGCCAACUACAACCACACCAACAACCACCAACCUCCCACUACAACUACAACCAAGCCUCCCACACAGCCAACUACAACCACACCACCAACAACAACAACCGAACCUCCCACUACAACUACCACAACAACCAAGCCCCCCACUACAACAACUUCACAGCCAACUACAACCACACCAACAACCACCAAGCCUCCUACUACAACUACAACCACGCCACCAACAACAACCAAGCCUCCUACUACAACUACACAGACUACAACCACACCAACAACAACAAGCCUCCCACUACAACAACAACCAAGCCCCCACUACAGACAACUACACAGCCAACUACAACCACACCAACAACCACCAAGCCUCCCACUACUACUACAACCACACACCAACAAAGACCGAACCUCCCACUACAACUACCACAACAACAACCACCAAGCCUCCCACUACAACUACAACCACGCCACCAACAACAACCAAGCCUCCCACUACAACUACACAGACAACUACAACCACACCAACAACCACCAAGCCUCCCACUACAACUACCACAACAACCAAGCCCCCCACUACAACAACUACACAGCCAACUACAACCACACCAACAACCACCAAGCCUCCCACUACUACUACAAUCACACCACCAACAACGACCGAACCUCCCACUACAACAACUGAACCUCCUACUACUACAACUACACAGCCAACGACAACCACACCACCAACCAAGCCUCCCACUACAACUACACAGACAACUAGUCCAAACUGGCUCCACACGUACAACACUGUAUUCAACUAGCCCUCAAGUGGGAAUACCUACUACUACUCCAAUUAUCACUACAGAAUGCAGCUGUAUUUUUAAUGGCACAAGUUACAGGCCAGGUAUGAAACCAGUUAAUAACCACAGUUAUGUUUAUGACAGAUGAAGAUGAUAGAAGUAAUGUUUUACCAAUUUUAAACAGCCUUACUGUGAUUAAACUUGUGUUCCGCUUGUAUAGGGAGAGGAAAUCUUUCAUAUGAACCCAUUGGAGCAGGCAUAUGUCUCACAAUGACAUGUUCUGAUAUUUGUGAAUUUCAAAACAAAACUGAAUUAUGCCCAACAACCAUGCCUCCAACUACAUCCAUGCCUUCAACUACAACCAGAGUACCUGACUGCCCUGACUGGGAAGUCUCAGUAAGACUGUUACUGUAGUCAGCAAAUUCAAUUGUAAAAUUUAAAACAAUUCAAUUGCAUUAUACUAUACACAUAGUACAUGUUAACUUGUUCAGCAAUAAGCUUACUUGCAUUUGCCUGCUAAUUUAAUGUCUACUUUUUCAUUUUUCUCUCAGCAAAAUGAGACCUUCAUGCUGUGCAACUGCACCAUGGCCAAAUGCAUUGAGAACAAUACAAUUGUGAUUGUUCCAUAUGAAUGUCCACCCCUUCAAAAUAUAACUUGCACCAAUGGAAAGAAACCAGUGCUUGUAUAUGACGACUACUACUGCUGCCAAUAUUACAUCUGUGACUGUGAGUUCUUCUGUAGAUUAAUUGCAUUUUAUUAACUUCUAUGUAUUUGUUUACAUACAUUUCAGAUUGUGAACAUGUUGUGUCUGUUUCUCAGGUGUGUGGUGAAGGAUGGGGAGAUCCCCAUUACAUACAUUUGAUGGGCUCUACUACAGUUAUCAAGGAAACUGCACCUAUGUCUUGAUGGAGGAAAGAAUAGCAAGACAUAACCUGAAGAUUUAUAUUGACAAUGUCUUUUGUGAUCCUACUGAAGAUGUUUCAUGUCCCGAUCAAUAAUAAUUUCAUAUGGACUAUAUGUUGUCACACUUGUGAAUCAUAACCUUAUUGGAGCAGCACAGUUGGAGGUAAAACUAUAAGUAACAUGGUGAAUUAAUGUUUUAUGUAUCUGAAAUACUCAUCAGACGAUUGUUGUAUAUAUUAUAAUGUUAUAGACAGAAACGAUAAGAGGAUCUGUAUAUUUUUGCGAUGUGAGGUUUUUGUUUUUUUUCCCUUCAGGCACUGCAAGAUGGAAAAAGUCUGAACUUCCUUAUUCACAAGGAGGUGUAAAGAUAAUUAAUUCUGGCAUUAAUUUGGGUUUUCGAGAUCCCGUACCUUAAAGGUGGUUAUUACCUUUGGAAUAACUGGCUUUAGUGUUACUCUCCCAUACCAUUACUUUGGUAACAACACACAGGGCCAUUGUGGUAAGACCUUUUUCUCUCUCUCUACUGGCCUUAAAAUUAUUAUAAAAAUUAUAAAUUAUUAGUUAAACUGUCAUAUUCACUGCUUUGCGACUAUACUAUCAGGAACAUGCAAUAACAACCAGGCUGAUGACUGCAUGCUACCUGGUGGCAAACUGGUGGAAAGUUGUGCAGUAAUGGCUGAUCAUUGGCCUGCAAAUACAUUUACCAACCUACCUGCCCAAAUCCACCUGUAUUACCCACUAUGCACCCGAACCACCACCCACCCUUGCUCCAUGCCACCCCAACUCCAUGUGUGAGCUGCUUAAGAGCAGGUAGACAUUCUCUAAUCCAUAUUUCAUAUUCCAUAUAUCUCAAUUCUGUUAACAUAUUUCAGAUAAAUAACUAUUGCUGCAUAUGUAUUUUUUGUGUUUUCUUGUACAGUGUCUUUGCAGCGUGUCAUCCAUUUGUCUCUCCAGACAAUUUCUACAAAGGUUGUGUCUUUGAUAGCUGCCAUAUUUCUAACCCAGCUGUGGAGUGCACAAGCUUGCAGACUUAUGCUGCUGCCUGUGCUCAGGCUGGAGUUGCCUGUACUGGAGGAAUCACACCCAAACUAUGUGGUGAGCAGCCCCUUUGUGUUUUAUUAUAAAUGACAGGUGUGUUGGAAUAAGGCCUUGUGUGUGUCAUUUUGCACACACUCAUUUGUAAUGUUUUCUUUCUCUCACCAACAGCUAGCGAUUGUCCAUCAAACAAAGUUUACAAGCCAUGUGGUCCAGCAGAACAGCCAAGCUGUGAAGACAAGUGAGUUCACGAAGUUAAAUGUAUUUAUUGAUGAUGUCUGAAAGUGGCAAAAAAUGUGGAUGAGAAAGAACAAUGUGCCAAACUCCAUUAAAAACUUUGUGCCUUUAUUUAAUUUUGCAAGUCCCUAUGAACCGGUUAUGAACUACACUAUUGAGGGGUGCUUUUGUCCCGAUGGAAUGAAACUCUUUAACAAAGAGUCUGGAAUAUGCGUUGAGAAGUGUGGUAAGUGUGCUGUAUACCUUCAACUGUUACAUUUAAAUUAAGUACAUUCAUCAGGUAUGAAGUCUUUCUAAAUUUAGUUUUCUAACAGGAUGUCUCGACCCUGAGGGCAUUCCUCGUGAGGUGAGCCAAGUUGUCCCGUCACAUGGAUUAAAUCUUAGUCGAGAGAAAAAGAAUUGAUGAUUGUUAUUAAUUUUUCAGUUCAAUGAGAGGUUUGAGUACAAAUGCCAGGACUGCAUCUGCGAAGAGUCCACAAAGGCUGUGACUUGCAAACCUAAGACAUGCCCACCACCACCACCUAUUGCAAACUGCACUGGUGCAGGGUUUGUACUUGUCAACCAGACUAAUCCAUCAGAUCCAUGCUGUCCUGCCUAUGUUUGCCGUAAGACAUUAUUUCUAAACAUUUCUAUAGCUUAAUGCUUGCUUGAUGUGUCUCUAAAUAACACCCUUUUUAUCAUCUCUGCAGAAUGUCAAAUAGACACUUGUCCAGUCAUCAACAUGAACUGUCCAAUUGAUAUAAGCCAGUUAUCAGCGUUCCUGAAGGGAAAGGUUUGUCCAGAACUCACAUGUGGUGAGCUGAUGAUUUUAAUUACAGUGUGCAGAAAACCAAACAAUCACUGUAACCC